rnacentral:piRNA from 1 species
CGAAAAAAAAAUUACUAAUUU